rnacentral:piRNA from 1 species
UAGGCUGCACCUUGGUUCCCAUCAACCAUU